GACGAACGCUGGCGGCGUGCUUAACACAUGCAAGUCGAACGGUAAGGCCCUUCGGGGUACACGAGUGGCGAACGGGUGAGUAACACGUGGGUGAUCUGCCCUGCACUUCGGGAUAAGCCUGGGAAACUGGGUCUAAUACCGGAUAGGACCAUGCUCUUCACGGUGUGUGGUGGAAAGCUUGUGCGGUGUGGGAUGGGCCCUCGGGCUAUCAGCUUGUUGGUGGGGUAAUGGCCUUCCAAGGCGACGACGGGUAGCCGGCCUGAGAGGGUGACCGAGCACACAGGGACUGAGGGACGGCCCAGACUCCUACGGGAGGCAGCAGUGGGGAAUAUUGCACAAUGGGCGCAAGCCUGAUGAGGCGGCGCCGGGUGAGUGAUGACCGCCUUCGGGUUGUAAACAUCUUUCAGUAGAGACGAGGCGCAAGUGACGGUACCUACAGAAGAAGGACCGGCCAACUACGUGCCAGCCGCCGCAGUAA
rnacentral:rRNA from 1 species